AGCGGCGAACGGGUGAGUAACACGCAGGUGAUCUGCCCAUCAGACGGGGACAACGAUUGGAAACGAUCGCUAAUACCGGAUAGGACGAAAGUUUAAAGGUGCUUCUGGCACCGCUGAUGGAUGAGCCUGCGGCGCAUUAGCUAGUUGGUAGGGUAAAGGCCUACCAAGGCGACGAUGCGUAGCCGACCUGAGAGGGUGAACGGCCACACUGGGACUGAGACACGGCCCAGACUCCUACGGGAGGCAGCAGUAGGGAAUCUUCGGCAAUGGGCGAAAGCCUGACCGAGCAACGCCGCGUGAAUGAUGAAGGCCUUCGGGUUGUAAAAUUCUGUUAUAAGGGAAGAACGACUUUAGUAGGAAAUGGCUAGAGUGUGACGGUACCUUAUGAGAAAGCCACGGCUAACUACGUGCCAGCAGCCGCGGUAAUACGUAGGUGGCGAGCGUUAUCCGGAAUUAUUGGGCGUAAAGAGCGCGCAGGUGGUUGAUUAAGUCUGAUGUGAAAGCCCACGGCUUAACCGCGGAGGGUCAUUGGAAACUGGUCGACUUGAGUGCAGAAGAGGGAAGUGGAAUUCCAUGUGUAGCGGUGAAAUGCGUAGAUAUUAGGAGGAACACCAGUAGCGAAGGCGGCUUUCUGGACUGUAACUGACACUGAGGCACGAAAGCGUGGGGGGCAAACAGGAUUAGAUACCCUGGUAGUCCACGCCGUAAACGAUGAGUACUAGGUGU
rnacentral:rRNA from 1 species